rnacentral:sRNA from 1 species
AACAGUUGAAAAAUGGAAUUGACUUUCACUCCUCCAGGUCCAGAAGGAUUCUAAUACACAAACCAUAAGCAAGAGUUGUUUCUGUUGUUUUGUCCACAGAACAGAAGCUGAAAAAGCAUAUUGCUUGCAUUUCAGGUGUUAACUGAAGCAAUUCGAAUAUGUCCAGAUUCAUUUGGAUUCAUAUUUACAUUGAAAAAACUCAACUAAGCAUUUGUUAUCCACAACAACCUAGAGUUUAAAAAGAUCGUAUUUUCACCUGUCUUCAUUACUUGCUAUGUAGUUUCAUUCUUUGUCGCGGUAACUUAAAUUUGAAAUUGGAAGAAUCUCUUGGGAUAGAAGAAAGAUUCUUACCUGGUGAUGGACUUCAUCCUUCAUCCUGUGUAAGAGUAUUAUGGGAAGUAGAAAUUCACUUCCUUAAAUCCAUCAUAAGAUUGAGCCUCA